UGGCGGCGUGCUUCAUACAUGCAAGUCGAACGAUAAGGUCUCUUCGGAGAUACAUAAGUGGCGGACGGGUGAGUAAUGUGUAGAGAAUCUGCCCUAGAGUGGGGGACGAACAGUUGGAAACGGCUGCUAAUACCCCAUAUGAGCGUACCUGUGAUGGUAUUCUUGAAAGAUUUAUUGCUCUGGGAUGAGUCUGCAUCUGAUUAGCUAGUUGGGGGUGUAAUGGACCACCAAGGCGACGAUCAGUAGCUGGUUUGAGAGGAUGAUCAGCCACAAUGGGACUGAGACACGGCCCAUACUCCUACGGGAGGCAGCAGUAGGGAAUUUUGCGCAAUGGGGGAAACCCUGACGCCAGCAACGCCGCGUGAUUGAAUAAGCCCUUCGGGGUGUAAAGAUCUGUCAGUGGGGACGAAACUUGACGGUACCCACAGAGGAAGCAUCGGCUAACUCCGUGCCAGCCGCGGC
rnacentral:rRNA from 1 species